GAUGAACGCUGGCGGCGCGCCUAACACAUGCAAGUCGAACGAUUAAAGCACCUUCGGGUGUGUAUAAAGUGGCGAACGGCUGAGUAACACGUGGGCAACCUGCCCCUUUCAUUGGGAUAGCCACGGGAAACCGUGGAUAAUACCGAAUACUUCGAGACUUCCGCAUGGAAGACUCGAGAAAGCUCCGGCGGAGAGGGAUGGGCCCGCGGCCUGUUAGCUUGUUGGGGGGGUAACGGCCUACCAAGGCAAUGAUGGGUAGCUGGGUUGAGAGACCGACCAGCCAGAUUGGGACUGAGACACGGCCCAGACUCCUACGGGAGGCAGCAGUGGGGAGUCUUGCACAAUGGGCGAAAGCCUGAUGCAGCGACGCCGCGUGCGGGAUGAAGGCCUUCGGGUUGUAAACCGCUUUCAGCAGGGACGAGGCGAAAGUGACGGUACCUGCAGAAGAAGCCCCGGCUAACUACGUG
rnacentral:rRNA from 1 species